rnacentral:rRNA from 1 species
AUAUAUCGGACGUACCCAGAAGUGGGGGAUACGUAGCGAAAGUUACGCUAAUACCGAAUACGAUCUACGGAUGAAAGUGGGGGACCUUCGGGCCUCAUGCUUUUGGAGCGGCCGAUAUCUGAUUAGCUAGUUGGUAGGGUAAAGGCCUACCAAGGCGACGAUCAGUAGCUGGUCUGAGAGGACGACCAGCCACACUGGAACUGAGACACGGUCCAACUCCUACGGGAGGCAGCAGUGGGGAAUUUUGGACAAUGGGCGCAAGCCUGAUCCAGCAAUGCCGCGUGAGUGAAGAAGGCCUUCGGGUUGUAAAGCUCUUUUGUCAGGGAAGAAACGGCUGAGGUUAAUACCUUCGGCUAAUGACGGUACCUGAAGAAUAAACACCGGCUAACUCCGUGCCAGCAGCCGCGG